GAAAUGCGAUAAGUUGUGUGAAUUGCAGAAUUCAGUGAAUCAUCGAAUCUUUGAACGCACAUUGCGCCCCUUGGUAUUCCAUGGGGCAUGCCUGUUCGAGCGUCAUUUGUACCCUCAAGCUCUGCUUGGUGUUGGGUGUUUGUCCCCGUCUCCGCGCGUGGACUCGCCCCAAAGUGAUUGGCAGCCGGCGUACUGGUCCCGGAGCGCAGCACAUGUCGCGCAAACGAGUGCCUUGGUACGGCGGCGUCCAUAAGCCCCUCUCUCACGCUCUUGACCUCGGAUCAGGUAGGGAUACCCGCUGAACUUAAGC
rnacentral:misc_RNA from 1 species